rnacentral:rRNA from 1 species
UACGGGGGGGGCAAGCGUUGUCCGGAUUUAUUGGGCGUAAAGAGCGUGUAGGCGGCCAGGUAGGUCCGUUGUGAAAACUCGAGGCUCAACCUCGAGACGCCGAUGGAAACCAUCUGGCUAGAGUCCGGAAGAGGAGAGUGGAAUUCCUGGUGUAGCGGUGAAAUGCGCAGAUAUCAGGAAGAACACCCGUGGCUAAGGCGGCUCUCUAGUACGGUACUGACGCUGAGACGCGAAAGCGUGGGGAGCGAACAGG